GAUGAACGCUGGCGGCGUGCCUAAUACAUGCAAGUCGAGCGAACAGACGAGUAGCUUGCUCCUCUGACGUUAGCGGCGGACGGGUGAGUAACACGUGGAUAACCUACCUAUAAGACUGGGAUAACUUCGGGAAACCGGAGCUAAUACCGGAUAAUAUAUUGAACCGCAUGGUUCAAUAGUGAAAGACGGUUUUGCUGUCACUUAUAGAUGGAUCCGCGCCGCAUUAGCUAGUUGGUAAGGUAACGGCUUACCAAGGCAACGAUGCGUAGCCGACCUGAGAGGGUGAUCGGCCACACGGGAACUGAGACACGGUCCAGACUCCUACGGGAGGCAGCAGUAGGGAAUCUUCCGCAAUGGGCGAAAGCCUGACGGAGCAACGCCGCGUGAGUGAUGAAGGUCUUCGGAUCGUAAAACUCUGUUAUUAGGGAAGAACAAAUGUGUAAGUAACUAUGCACGUCUUGACGGUACCUAAUCAGAAAGCCACGGCUAACUACGUG
rnacentral:rRNA from 1 species